rnacentral:lncRNA from 1 species
CCGCAGGGCUUUUGCCACCCGGUGGGGAACACACGGUUUUCGGUGCUUGUCAGCGGGUCUCUCAUAAAUCUGCUGCCCUGUAUAACCGGAGUAUUAGCGAUUAUUUUCCAGCAACCAUUCACGACCGGUCGGAAACUUUUUACACCAACUUUUGUAUCACUCUGAUCUAAUCAGGACCCUAAAACUACAAAUAAUGGAUGUAACAUCAACCUGCUGGACUCUGUUGGUCUCCUUUAUUUUCUCGAUCAUGUCUGCAGAUCAGGAAAACAUCACAGCUGAGUCUGGACAGAACGUCACUCUGACAUGUCGAGCUCCAAACAUCAAGAAUGAUCUUGUAGAGUGGAGCAGAGCUGACCUGGGAGAUGAAUAUGUGCUAUUUUACCGGGAUGAUCUGUCUGUUUCUGAUCACCAGCAUCAAUCAUUUAAGAACCGGGUGGAUCUGCAGGACAGACAGAUGAAGGAUGGAGAUGUGUCUUUGGUUCUCAUGAAUGUGACGAUUAAUGACACUGGAACAUACAAGUGUCGUGUUCCUUUGGACAAAACACACUCAUCGAAUCCCAUCAGCAUCAUCUUCCUGAGUGUUGUUGAUCCUCCAGGUGAGUGAGUAGAGUUGAGUGUGUGUGUGAUCAGAGGUGAAGCUGCUUCCUGGUUGUUGAUGUUUGUUUCUAAAGAUGUUGUUGAUGAGACCUUGUAGAAAGCAGCUGCUCUGAGUGAUGUGAUCAGCUGACACCUCACACCUGUUUCUCUCCUGCAGCUCCACCAGGAGGAGCCACAGAGGAUGGAGAUGGAGUUGGUAGACGUCAUCAUGGUCGACUGAUAGCUUCUGUUUUGUGCCUUGUUGUAAUCAUUGUUGUGUUCUUUAAAAUAUUUCACCAUUAUUGUGAUCCCCUUUGAUGACAACAACAAGAAACUAAAGCGACAGAUGACAGACUGUAUCAAACCAAAGUGCAUCAGCCUGAGGUGUAGUAGACAGACCAGUUUCUUUUUCAUCUCCUGUGUUUCUGUAUGAUGAGUGAGUGUCUAAUGUCUAGGUGUGGGAGUGGGAAUGGAGGGGUGAUGAGAGGGUGUAAUGAAGUUGAUGUGUGUAUUUUCUUUAUGCAUUUAAUGUGUACAGCUCUUUGAAUGACUUCCUUACUGUAUGAGAAGU